rnacentral:ribozyme from 1 species
UGCCCAGCAACUCCUAUCCCUACCUCCUCGUGGUACCCCGGUGGGAACUCUGGUCGUGUGCUGACAGGGAAGG